rnacentral:misc_RNA from 1 species
GAAAUGCGAUAAGUAAUGUGAAUUGCAGAAUUCAGGGAAUCAUCGAAUCUUUGAACGCACCUUGCGCUCCUUGGUAUUCCUUGGAGCAUGCCUGUUUGAGUAUCAUGAAAUCUUCAAAGUAAAUCUUUUGUUAACUCAAUUGGUUUCUACUUUGGUAUUGGAGGUCUUUGCAGCUUCACACCUGCUCCUCUUUGUUCAUUAGCUGGAUCUCAGUGUUAUGCUUGGUUCCACUCGGCGUGAUAAGUUAUCUAUCGCUGAGGACACUGUAAAAGGUGGCCAAGGUAAAUGCAGAUGAACCGCUUCUAAUAGUCCAUUGACUUGGACAAUACUUUUAUGAUCUGAUCUCAAAUCAGGUAGGACUACCCGCUGAACUUAAGC